AAGGCAAGCUUCUGUGGCUUUGAAUGUGUAGCAACCAGAGGUGGUUAGGGGUAGCAAAGGCAAAUAGCGGAGCAAUAUGUACUUUCUUUUAAUCACAGUUCAUUCUCUUGAAAUGGAGCUUAAGCUUUGCAAGCAACAAAUACAGGCUUCAAUAAGGCCUAUGUAAGUAUUGACGUCUCAUUACGUCCAACAGUACUUGUGUAUAAGAAUAUUUGUAUUGCUCGUUAAUUUUUAUGGCAGAGGGAUGAGAAGCAGAGGCUUGGGACUGCAAAGGAAGAGUUAGCAUCCAUUAAUAAUCACCCCUUAAGAUUAUACCUCGACCAUUAAUGUAACGAAAAAUAAAAGAAGUUGAAAAGAUGUGUUAAACUGUGAGGUACUAAUUUCCUAUUCUUUUCAUAUUCAGUAAAAGUCUUUCCCAC
rnacentral:misc_RNA from 1 species